rnacentral:tRNA from 1 species
UCCCGUGUGGUCUAGUGGUUAGGAUUGUGGUUUUCACCACGCGGCCCGGGUUCGAUUCCCGGCACGGGAG